rnacentral:lncRNA from 10 species
GGAGAGUGGGCAUGAGGCUGCUCUUUAUUUUACAGAACCUUCCCAUUCCCUGUCUCAUUCGGCAGGGGUAAUAAUGAUAGCUAACAUUUGAGUAUUUUUUUGAGAAAGCACCAUACAGAGCACUUUUCAUGGGUCAGCAAUCUCAUUCACUCCUCACAACCCUUUAAAUAGAUGCUGUUAUUAACCUCAUUUUUGUAACAGAAAAUGAGGCUUAAUGGGCAUGGGUGGAUACUGAAGCUAGACUUCUUCAAAACCUCUUCUUUGAGGUUUGCAAACACUAAGGAGAGUUGAUCAUGGCAAUAGCAUCCGACCAGACAUCUCCUCGGAGUCUCGCCCCCACGUGGAGCUCGAAUGAAGCUCGCGGGCUGUUUCAGCUGAAACCUCUUCCUGCGGGCGCGCCAGAAAGACAGGCGCCAUCUCAGAGCUUCCUGCAGGACUCAGCAUCUGCACUACCCUGGGAUUCAGACACCAUUAUGAGGAUGCAGUGCUGAGUAAGACUGGCAAAGUUCCUGACAUCUGGUGCAGAGGAGGUAAAAUGAACAAUCGGUUAUUCUCCCUUUCCUGGCAGAGGAGUUUCUUUGAAAUUUAUCAUCAGAAAAUCCACUCAACAACCAGUUCAAUCUACAUAAGAAAGAUAAGAUGUAAUCAAACUACCCCCCAAAUUGUCUAAAGACCAGAAUGAAAAGAAGAUCUCAGCAUAUCCACUGUGGCUACUAGGCCAUAUUAAACAUCAAUUUUUGAUUUUCCGGAAUGAGAAGAAAGGUUGAAUCAUCAAAGAUGACUAUGGGGGCUUGCACUAAGAGUCUACAAAGUCUUCAUUAUUGGAAAGUUUCUAAGAGAUACAAAACCGGAAGAUAUGCUCUUUGGUUGUAUUCUCUAAAAGCAAACCCUUAGGAAAGGGUUCAGGUGAAAGCAAUUCAUCUGGGGAGGAAAUCCCAGGCAAGACAAUGAAGAAGUCAGAGAAUGAGACUAGGAAAUGAGGAAAGGUAAUAUAGAAAAUGUGAAUGAGCAGGUUGCUGCUGUGGGCAUCGGGGUCUCAUUUUUGCAGAAGACUCUUUGAGAGACUACAUAGAACAAUCCUUACAAUCGGCCCAACAAAGCAUAAGGAAGCAGGGUAUUUAUCCACCAACUCAUGAUGUGAUGGCUGUUCUUGGGGAUUUAACUCUCCACUUCAGGCCUGGCCCUCCGUCAUGUUAGCCACGCAGGCUCUUAUGGGCCACAGAAAGACCUCAAGAGUUCAGAAGCCAGCUGCAUGCAAGGGAAUGGUACAAAAACUUCAGAUGACAUCCUGCAUAGGCCAAAGGAAUCUGCCAACAACAUCUGUCAAAGCUAUCUACAAUACAGUACGUUGUAUCAUGUUUUCCCAAGCAUGAGACAAGUACCACCAGUGGUUCAGGAGAUGAUUUUAGGUGGUUCUGGGUCAUGGAAUUAAAUAACAUUGAAUUACAUGGUUGGGGAGUUCUUUUCUUUUCACUUCUCUCUCAAUCCUUCUGACUAUCCAAAGACAACCUCUCUUUUUGGUACUAAUUAUGGCUUUAUUAUACCUCCAAUCCUUGCAAGCUUCCAGUUUAAGCAGAGAGUCAGCCUUGGGCCCCAGAUAUUUACUGACAACCACAUUUGGCCAAAAUGUGCUGACAUGUUCCUCUUUUCAUUGUAUUUACAUUUCCAAUUACCUUCAAUCCAUGGCAAGUGGUAUUAUUUCUUCAUUACUAGCAACAAUGCAAAGUUUGCUUUUUGAAUAAAUUUAUUUCAUCUUUUAAGUCAGCCAAUUUAAAG